rnacentral:tRNA from 1 species
GAGAUCGUAGCAAAGAGGAUAUGCAACGGACUUUUAAUCCGUACCACGUGGGUUCGAAUCCCACCGGUCUCACCA